rnacentral:rRNA from 1 species
UACGGAAGGCAGCAGUGGGGAAUAUUGCACAAUGGGCGCAAGCCUGAUGCAGCCAUGCCGCGUGUAUGAAGAAGGCCUUCGGGUUGUAAAGUACUUUCAGUCGUGAGGAAGGUGUUAAGGUUAAUAACCUUAGCAAUUGACGUUAGCGACAGAAGAAGCACCGGCUAACUCCGUGCCAGCAGCCGCGGUAAUACGGAGGGUGCGAGCGUUAAUCGGAAUUACUGGGCGUAAAGGGCACGCAGGCGGUUAAUUAAGUUGGAUGUGAAAUCCCCGGGCUUAACCUGGGAAUGGCAUUCAAGACUGGUUAGCUAGAGUCUUGUAGAGGGGGUAGAAUUCCAUGUGUAGCGGUGAAUGCGUAGAGAUGUGGAGGAAUACCGGUGGCGAAGGCGGCCCCUGGCAAAGGACUGACGCUCAUGUGCGAAAGCGUGGGGAGCAAACGAGGGAUUAGAUACC